rnacentral:rRNA from 1 species
CCUACGGGAGGCAGCAGUGAGGAAUAUUGGUCAAUGGGCGUAAGCCUGAACCAGCCAAGUCGCGUGAGGGAUGAAGGUUCUAUGGAUCGUAAACCUCUUUUAUAAGGGAAUAAAGUGUGGGACGUGUCCUGUUUUGUCUGUACCUUAUGAAUCAGGAUCGGCUAACUCCGUGCCAGCAGCCGCGGUAAUACGGAGGAUCCGCGCGUUAUCCGGCUUUAUUGGGUUUAAAGGGUGCGUAGUCGGGCUUUUAAGUCCGCGGUGAAAGUGUGUGGUUCAACCAUAGAAUUGCCGUUGAAACUGGGAGGGUUGAGAAUGUUUGAGGCAGGGGGAAUGCGUGGUGUAGCGGUGAAAUGCUUAGAGAUCACGCAGAACCCAGAUGGCGAAGGCAG